UACGGAGGGUGCGAGCGUUGUUCGGAAUUAUUGGGCGUAAAGCGCGUGUAGGCGGUUGCUUAAGUCUGAUGUGAAAGCCCUGGGCUCAACCCGGGAAGUGCAUUGGAAACUGGGCAACUUGAGUACGGGAGAGGGUAGUGGAAUUCCUAGUGUAGGAGUGAAAUCCGUAGAUAUUAGGAGGAACACCGGUGGCGAAGGCGGCUGCCUGGACCGAUACUGACGCUGAGACGCGAAAGCGUGGGGGGCAAACAGGAUUAGAAACCCUGGUAGU
rnacentral:rRNA from 1 species